GAUAGGGUGACUGAAAUUUAGGUGAUAAAUUGUAAAUUUAUUUAUGGCUGUUUGGCCUCCUAUCA
rnacentral:tRNA from 1 species